rnacentral:rRNA from 1 species
AGAACGAACGCUGGCGGCAUGCCUAACACAUGCAAGUCGAACGAAGCCCCCGUCUUCGGAUGGGAAGCUUAGUGGCGCACGGGUGCGUAACACGUGGGAAUCUGCCCUUAGGUACGGAAUAACUCAGGGAAACUUGUGCUAAUACCGUAUGGUGACUUCGGUCCAAAGAUUUAUCGCCUAGGGAUGAGCCCGCGUCGGAUUAGCUAGUUGGUGGGGUAAAAGCCUACCAAGGCGACGAUCCGUAGCGUGGUCUGAGAGGAUGAUCAGCCACACGUGGGACUGAGACACGGCCCAGACCUCCGUACGGAGGCAGCGAGUGGGGGAACUAGUUGGACAAGU